CUCCGCUCAGAAUCAUGUUUCGUUAGCAAUGAUUAAUCGUUGUGUACAGAAAUAAAUGUAAUUCCUCUCUGUAUCCUUUCCUACCCAACUUUUCACACCUACAACAGCGGCCUGCCCGUGGUGCGAAGUAUGUCCAUCUUUUUUUAUUAGUUUAUCGAUUGUUUUUUUUUUUUUACUUAACAGUAAGUUUUGUUUCAAUAAUCAACACAAAGCGUGAUUCAUCUAGUUAUGGUAUAUCGGGGAAUUAAUUUUUAUUGAUUUUAUAUAUUGAUUUUGUUUAGUUCAAAAUGGAUAAAAUUAUGGUU